AGGAUGAACGCUGGCGGCGUGCCUAAUACAUGCAAGUCGAGCGGUAAGGCCCCUUCGGGGGUACACGAGCGGCGGACGGCUGAGUAACACGUAGGAACGUACCCCAAAGUGAGGGAUAAGCACCAGAAAUGGUGUCUAAUACCGCAUGUGCUCUUCGGAGGAAAGCUUCGGCGCUUUGGGAACGGCCUGCGCAUGAUUAGCUUGUUGGUGAGGUAAUGGCUCACCAAGGCGACGAUCAUUAGCUGGUCUGAGAGGAUGAUCAGCCAGACUGGGACUGAGAACGGCCCAGACUCCUACGGAGGCAGCAGUAGGGAAUUUUCCACAAUGGGCGAAAGCCUGAUGGAGCAACGCCGCGUGCAGGAUGAAUGCCUUCGGGUUGUAAACUGCUUUUAUAUGUGACGUAAUAUGACGGUAGCAUAUGAAUAAGGAUCGGCUAACUCCGUGCCAGCAGCCGC
rnacentral:rRNA from 1 species